rnacentral:rRNA from 1 species
AUGGCGCGCCCCACUCACCAUCUUAUCAUAGCAGAUGCUCCUAAAUGGGCAAUUGAGCAAGUCAAUAAACGGUGCAGAGCAUUUUUUUGGGAAGGGUCGGAAGUGAUUCAUGGAGGAAAAUACCUUGUGGCUUGGCAAAGAGUUUGCAGGCCUAAAGACCUAGGUGGCCUUGGGCUGCUUGAUUUAUACCGUCAAGGCCUGGCAUUAAGAUUGCGUUGGGAGUGGCUCAGGCGUACUGACUCGAACCGACCCUGGCAUGGGCUACCGAUGGCGAGCGAUCCUCAGGUUCAGAGGGCUUUUGACAGCCUAGUGCAUUGGAAACUUGGUGAUGGCAACAAGGUGUUGUUUUGGAAGGAUAGAUGGAUGGAUGGUGGAACUGCUAAGGAGAUUGCUCCGGGCAUAUGGAGCAAGGUUCGCACUCAGACGGUGAACAAGCGGACAGUGUAUGAUGGACUGUUGAACCACCGCUGGACCGCGGACAUCUCAGGAGAGCUUACCACCGACGAUUUAGUUCAGUUAAUCAAGCUCUGGGAGAUUGCCAUUACAACACAUCUUGAUCCUACUCAAAGGUACGAGGCGAUAUGGCCCUGGAACUCCAAGCAAGUUUACACCUCGGCCUCAGCUUAUCAAAUGCUAUUCAAAGGUGCAAUCAGGGUGGCCUACGCGCGAUGGAUUUGGAAAUGCUGGGCACCCCUCACUUGCAAAAUCUUCUUGUGGCUCGCGAUACAACAUAGAAUCUGGACAUCUGACCGGAGGCUACGACAUGGGUUAUAG